GUGCCAGCAGCCGCGGUAAUACGGAGGAUGCAAGCGUUAAUCGGAAUUACUGGGCGUAAAGCGCACGCAGGCGGAUUGUUAAGUCAGAUGUGAAAUCCCCGGGCUCAACCUGAGAACUGCAUCUGAUACUGGCAAGCUUGAGUCUCGUAGAGGGGGGUAGAAUUCCAGGUGUAGCGGUGAAAUGCGUAGAGAUCUGGAGGAAUACCGGUGGCGAAGGCGGCCCCCUGGACGAAGACUGACGCUCAGGUGCGAAAGCGUGGGGAGCAAACAGGAUUAGAUACCCUGGUAGUGC
rnacentral:rRNA from 1 species